AAAAGCACACGGCAUAAAACCUGGGGUGGGGAGAGAAGUGGGCCUACGAGGUCGGGGCACGCUGCAGGGACACCCCUUUGCUGCCAGAGAGAAAGACAGCAGGGAGAGGUGGGGCUUACUGAGGGGAAGAGCUAGGGCUGGGCGUUCUGGGUGUGUGACCCAAGAGGAGCGAGGGAGAGGAGACGGCCCACAGGACUGGGAGAAGGGGAAUUUCAGACCGUGGGAACAGAGGGCUGGCUGAGGAAUGUGCCAGAUGCCAAAAUGAGGCAUUCCCCGAGCAGAGCCAGGAGCGCGAGAGCCCGGAACUAGCACAAGCUGGGAAGGGCCAGAUUCAUGGUCAGCUGGGAUCAAGGACACGGACUCUGGAGUCCCGACUUUUUCAGGAAACGAGGCUCAGAGAAGGAAGCACGUCUCCCAGGGUCACACAGCCUGGAAGUGAAGGAGCGGAGAUUUAAACGCAGGAGGUUCCUGGAACUGGAUGUAGCAGCCACCUACUGCCACUAACCACAGAGUGGCCACCAGGCAUCUCCGGACACUGGCAGUUGGCAACCGCUCUGGUUCAGAUCAUCUGAAAUGAAGCCCUACACAGCCCAGGGACACGCCCACGUCUGCGACAGAACGCAUACUGAGAGCUUCCUGUUGCUUGGGAAACGCAUUAAAUGUGCUACAGAGACACAGACUUGUAUCCAACAUUUCAGAGAUAGUCAAUAUGCAGCAGGAAAACAAAAUAAAACGCAGGCUGAAAGAAUGGGUGGGAUCCAAGGAAUCAAAGCAGUAGAUGGACGACCAGGAGCACCCCAAGUUAUCUUCAGGAAACAGAGCGACAAAACGCAAAGGGAAUGAACUCCAUUGCCUUUGUGUGCACGAAGCCGGAAGCACGACCACUCUUUACCCUCGGCCUCAUUACAAGACCAAAACCUCUGCCUCGGCGCGGGAACUCUCACCUGGAAUCCCAGCACUUUGGAAGGCCGAAGCGGACGGAUCACCUGAGGUGUCAGGAGUUUGAGACCAGCCUGGCCAACAAGGAACGCUCACCUACCUCAUGAAUUACGCGUGUCGCCCUCCUCAAGACGCCACAACACACUCCCCUGGGGAGCCAGCCGGAGAACUCUCCCUGCGGUGCUGUCUCCCCCGUGGUGGAACGGAAGCCC